AGUAGAAAAUAGACAAAAGGGCAAUAGAGAAAAAUGUUAAAAGUCUGUAUUUCACAUGUUACUGGGGGUUAAUUGAAUCAUUCUCAAGAGUAUGGGGUGGACACAAGCCUCUUUCCACUGCCUCAAUACAUACAGAAAACUUUAUAGAUAAUUUCCUGACACCUGAAGACCCGGUGUUAAGCAAGAAUAUUCUGAAUGUUUUAAUACAAGAAGAAAUCUCCCUCCAUGUAUUUCAUUCCAUUAAAAUACUCUAUUGACAUUUAAAAAUUAAUGAAUUGCAAAUCCAGUAAUGGGUUGUACUUGGGAUGGUACUUCAAAACU
rnacentral:lncRNA from 1 species